AUGCGGGCGGGCGUCUCGCGCGGUGCGUGCGUUGUGUGCGGCGCAAGUCGGGCGCGUGGGCGGGAGGUGGUUCGGCUCGGGAGGCGCCGGGCAGGGAAGCUCGGGAGGCGGGCUCGUCAGACGGGCGUGACGCGAGGAGGAAGCCGGGGUGGCGGCCCCGUGCUGGAAGCCAUGGCAUUUUGGCCAUGGUGUCGUGUGCGCCGAGGGUGGUGCGCGGUGAAGCUUGGUGGUCGGCGUUGGAGAGUGCAAGGCGCAACAGGAACGGCUCCAAUGAUCUCCACGCUUCUGGGUGGAUCGGAUCUGCGGGCCUCCAUAGGGAUGUGUGUGUUCCGGGCAAAAGCCUUGACCCGACUUUGUCGGUGCCGUCGACGGCGGCACUUUCGGGCGUCGUUUCCCUCCUUGGAGGCGUCAUUGUGGAACUCAUCUUCUUCUAUGUGGGGCUCGGGCUCUCCGGGUGAAAACCUAAGCUCCAGAUUUUUCGGAGCGGGCGACGGCGGCGUCUUCGUCGUUUCCCUCUUGGGGGUGUUGCUUGGGAGAGUUAGCUUGUGCUUGGUGCGUUUGGUUUUCUCCUACGUCGGGUUUGGUGGAUGCCGAGGCAGCGGCCCCGGACGGCUGAUGAACGCCGAGGCGGCGGCCUCGGGAAGUGAUGCGCGGUGCGGCUCCAUGGGGCGGGGCGGUGGCUCGGCCUUCACUUGGGUGGCAAUCUUGGGCCACUUGGGUGGCAGGCUUGUCGGUCCGGUCGACGCGUUCCAGAGGGGGCGAUCUGACUUUGCGUCGGGGCGGCGGCCCCGGAUGUGGUGCAACGUUCGUGGUCUGCGAGCGGUUGCCCUGAGCAGCGUGGGCUGCGGGAAGCUGGGUCGCGCGGCGUUGCUGCUCGAGCGGAGCGGUGGUACGUCGGGGCGGCGGCCCCGGAAGGUGGUGCCGGUUGAUUGCGCUGGGCGCGACGGAGCGGUGGAUGUCGGGGCGGCGGCCCCGAGAAAAUCACUGUGGCGUCCAGACUUCUGUGGCAACGAUGAUGGUGGGAGCGAUGUCGGUGACGCGGCAAUGGUUGCGAUAGUCGGCUCUUCUUCCGCGUGUCCACGAUAUUGCCUCGUUUUGUUUGUUGCUGUGGAGUCGAAGCUGCGGCGGCGAGGCCCUGUGGUAUACGAUGACUGGUUCCAGGUGUCCUUUCGGCGAUCUUCCGUGGUGCCAGCCGUGCCUAGUUUCAUUUUUCUGAGUUCUCCGUCAGAAUCGGAGCUGCGUUGUCUGUCCGCAGAUCGACAUGUCGUCGAGAAGGGUGGGCUUUGCCCUGUGUGUUUCAGUCUAUGCGAGUGGGAUCAGCCCUUGUUGUUCCGGUUUUUGCCCGGUUUUCCGUAA
rnacentral:rRNA from 1 species